CUCCUCUCUGUCCCUUCUCUUUCCCUAUUCCCUGUUUUCCAAUUUCUGAAUUUGAUUUCUUUUGCUAGAAAAUAAUAAAAAGAUUUGUCGGGUAAGUUUCGUGAGCUAACGAAGAUGAAGGUGAUGGAGGAUGAGAUGGAAUUCGAAGAAGAAAAGGAACUUAAGGGUUUGUACGAAGAAGUUGGUGAGGAUGGGGUCGAGGAUGGUGUAGAAGAAGGCCGUGAGGAAGAGGACGGUGAGGACGAUGAAGACGACGAUGACGACGACGACGACGACGAGGAAGAGGAUGAUGACGAUGACGAUGACGGUGACGUGCAGGAGGUCGUACCUUCGUCUGGUGGUCCUCCAGUUCAUUCAGUAGAUGAUGACGAGGACGAGGACGAAGAUGAAGACGACGACGACGAUGACGGCGAUGACGACGACGACGACGGUGAUGACGAUGACGACGAUGAUGAGGAAGACGAUGACGAGGAGGAGGAUGGUCAAGAGAAGAGGGAUCUGGGAACAGACUACCUUGUCAGGCCAGUUGGACGUGCUGAGGAUGAGGAAGAUGCCAGUGAUUUUGAACCACAGGAGAAUGGCGAGGAGGAAGACGUUGACGAGGAGGAUGAAGAUGAUGAUGAUGGUGAUGCCAGUGGGAAGGUUGAUGUUCCGGCAAAGAGGAAAAGGCCAGAUAAAGAUGAUUCAGAUGGUGAUGAUGAUGGUGGAGAGGAUGACGAGAGACCACCCAAGCGAUAGUUAGGGUAGGGCCUCUCCUUGGGUUGAGGACUGACGAUUGAAACCAUAGAUGGGAUUUUUGCUGAAAUGAUUAUCGGUCCAGGUGCCAUAGAGAAACGACGUGGGAUUGAUAGAGACGGACGAACAAACCAAAAGCCGUAUCAUUUGGAGAAUAAUAAUGAUAAUGAAAAUAAUGCGUUACCGGCGAAAUAACAGCUCUCUCAAAAUAUGGGGAAGUCCUGAUUGGGCACCUUGUCCCAUUGCAUCCUUGGACGCUUGAGCCCAAACGAAGGUACGAGACGACAGAAACUCACUUCGGCUAAUGGGCUUGUUCAAAUGUCAAGCCAUCAGAAAACCUCCACGACCAGAAAUCUAAUUGUCCUCCACUUUGCUAUGCUUCGUCUCUUUGCAUCGCCGCUAGAAAACCUCCACGGCCAGUAAUCUCAAAGUCAGUUCCACCACCACCAGCUUAGUCUGACGCCGACUGUCUAUUGCCUUCAGGUAUUUCGCACCACCGUCUCCCCUCUCGCAUGUCUCGCACAGCUUCCCCUUCACACGGCUUUAGCCUCGUCGUCCCCUCUCGUACGGCUACCGAAUCAUUUUGCUCAGUCCCUUUACAUUGAUUUCUACCGCCACUAGUCUGUUGCCCACCAUCCCAGUCCCCAACUAAUUAUGAUGAAGGGGACUACUUCUAAGCUGAGAGCGUUUCUAGAGAAAUCGUUUUCAAUGAACAUUAUCGAGGGGGGGGCUACGAUGCACUCCAUGAUAGGUGUGGUGGGAAGCCUACGUGUCAGUUUACUAUUGAUAGGCUGUUAAAUGGGUAAAAAUAGAUGGACCGGUUCUAAGGUAUUUUCUAUAAUUAUUAUUUAAGAUUUUUAACU